GAAAGCCUAUUUAAAAGCCUGUUUCACAACCUGUUUUUAAUUAUACUAAGCAGCCUGUUAUAUAUUAUUUGGCCUGUUUGUGAAGCUUUUUCUCUUUUAAAAAAGACAACAGCAAAUCACUUCCAAAUUGUAAUUGCGGCAAGCAAAUUGAUAAGCAAACAACCCAAUACUUAAAAAUUGCAUAUCUAGUCUGUAGAUUGUCA
rnacentral:lncRNA from 1 species